rnacentral:lncRNA from 1 species
UCACAAAACCAAAACUGUCUCCACACAGGGCCAGAUCAUCUCUGACCGACAGCCCUGAGUGUGGGGUGGGAGGACAUCGACCCUUGAAUUGUAACCCUGGAGGCUGUGAGAGCGGGGAUGAGUUGCCUCCAGGCCUUCUCUGUAUCCUCGAAGGAUGUAUGUAGUAGGUGCUCGAUAAACAAACAAACAGCCCCUUCCCCUGUACUCUCCCUGGAGUUGAUUUGUAGGAUCCUAACAGCUAUGUACACUUACUACAAAGUUUGAAUCUGUUUGCAGAGGACCUGUAGUGUUGCUAUUUGGGGAAUAUCUGACAAAAACAUCUGAGGGAAGGGUUUGAGUUUGAGGAAAUACUGUCAGUUCAUCAUAGCAGGGAAGACAUAGCAGCAGGAGCGGGUGUGAGGCAAUGCACCCCAUCAAGGCAGGAAGUGGGGUGAAGGAUGCUGGUGCUCAGCUCCCUUUCUCCCUUUCAUUUAGUCCAGGACUCCAGCCAUGGGAUGGUGCUCCCCACACUCAGGGAGAGUCAUCCCUUAGUCCUCCCUGGACACAGCCAGGUGUGUCUCCCAGGUGAUUUCAAACCCAGGCAAAAUACCAUAUACGUAAAUAAGUCAACCUUUAAAAAUAAAUAAACAAAUGUCUCCGGGG